GAUGAACGCUAGCGGAAGGCUUAAUACAUGCAAGUCGAGCGGUAGAUGGUUUCGGCCGUUGAGAGCGGCGCACGGGUGAGUAACGCGUACAUGACCUGCCUAUCAGAAGGGGAUAGCCCCGGGAAACUGGGAUUAAUACCCUAUGGCAUUGUAUUUUUAAAUGGAUACAAUUAAAGCUGAGGCGCUGAUAGAUGGAUGUGCGUCUGAUUAGCUAGUUGGUGGGGUAAAGGCCCACCAAGGCGACGAUCAGUAGGGGGCGUGAGAGCGUGGUCCCCCACACGGGUACUGAGACACGGACCCGACUCCUACGGGAUGCAGCAGUAAGUAGUAUUGGUCAAUGCCCGCAAGGGUGAACCAGCCAUUCCGCGUGGAGGAUGAAGGCCCUAUGGGUUGUAAACUUCUUUUAGAUGGGAAGAAAAUGCUUUGUUUACAAGGUACUGACGGUACCAUCAGAAUAAGCACCGGCUAACUCCGUGCCAGCCGCCGCGGUAACAC
rnacentral:rRNA from 1 species